UAUUUAUUGUGUAUGUGAGAAAGAGAGAGAGAGAGAGAGAAUGAAGUGGGGAGGGUUGGAGGACAGGUGUCAACCUAAGGUUCCCCCAACCCUCCUUUAAUGUAAUAGAAAUAUAUAUAUAUAGAGUCCAGUUACUAUGCUAUUAAUAGCACGAAGCACUUGGUGCUAUCAAGUUUUCCGUCGUUAGAUCUACCCUUUUGAUCAUUUUCACCCGUUAGAUCAUACUAUUCAACCAACCAACCACCCACUCAACCCUAGGGGCCCCACAUCAUCCUAACCGCACAUCUUUCAAUCCAAUGGCUAAAAACUUGGUAGCACCAAUGACUUGGUGUUAUUAAUAGUAUAUUAGCCUAGUUAUAUAUAUAU
rnacentral:lncRNA from 1 species